rnacentral:tRNA from 1 species
UACAGUGUGGAAUAAUGGUUAGAACACUGGGCUUGUAACUCAAAGGUUGUGGGUUUGAUUCCCAACUGGGGAC